rnacentral:rRNA from 1 species
AUUGAACGCUGGCGGCAGGCCUAACACAUGCAAGUCGAGCGGAGGAAGGGAGCUUGCACCUGGAUUCAGCGGCGGACGGGUGAGUAAUGCCUAGGAAUCUGCCUGGUCGUGGGGGAUAACGUCCGGAAAAGGGCGCUAAUACCGCAUACGUCCUGUGGGAGAAAGUGGGGGAUCUUCGGACCUCACGCUAUCAGAUAAGCAUAGGUCGGUUUAGCUAGGUGGUGGGGUAAAGGCCUACCAAGGCGACGGACCUUAACUGGUACGAGAGGAUGGGCAGUCAGCCUGGAACGGAGAGACGGCCCAGACUCCUAGAGGAGGCCGCCGUGCGGACUCCUGGGGAAGGGGGGAGAGCGGGAUCCAGCCAGACCGGGUGUGUGAAGAAGGUCUUCGGAUUGUAAAGCGAAUUAAGUUGGGAGGUAGGGCAGUUAGUUAAUACCUGACUAUAAUGACGUUACCAACAGAAGAAGCACCGGCUAACUACGUG